GACGAACGCUGGCGGCGUGCCUAAUACAUGCAAGUAGAUCGCUGAAGCUUGGUGCUUGCACCGAGCGGAUGAGUUGCGAACGGGUGAGUAACGCGUAGGUAACCUGCCUGGUAGCGGGGGAUAACUAUUGGAAACGAUAGCUAAUACCGCAUAAUAGCAGUUGAUGCAUGACAACUGUUUAAAAGGUGCAAUUGCAUCACUACCAGAUGGACCUGCGUUGUAUUAGCUAGUUGGUGGGGUAACGGCUCACCAAGGCGACGAUACAUAGCCGACCUGAGAGGGUGAUCGGCCACACUGGGACUGAGACACGGCCCAGACUCCUACGGGAGGCAGCAGUAGGGAAUCUUCGGCAAUGGACGGAAGUCUGACCGAGCAACGCCGCGUGAGUGAAGGAGGUUUUCGGAUCGUAAAGCUCUGUUGUAAGAGAAGAUCGAGUGUGAGAGUGGAAAGUUCACACUGUGACGUAUCUA
rnacentral:rRNA from 1 species